rnacentral:rRNA from 1 species
CACGUAGGGCGCAAGCGUUGUCCGGAAUUUAUUUGGGCGUAAAGAGCUCGUAGGCGGUCUGUUGCGUCCGCUGUGAAAACUCGGGGCUUAACCCCGAGCCUGCAGUGGAUCGGGGCAGCUAGAGGUAGGAGGGGGAGAAUGGAAUUCCCGGUGUAGCGGGUGAGAUGCGCAGAUAUCGGGGAGGGAAACACCCGGGUGGGCG